GUGCUCACUUCAGCAGCACAUAUACUAAAAGUGGAACGAUUCAGAGAAGAUCAGCAUGGCCCCUGCACAAGGAUGACAUGCAAAUUUGUGAAGCAUUCCAUAUUUUU
rnacentral:snRNA from 1 species